GCAGGAAGAGGACUAGUUGCCUGCUAGCUUUUCCCAGGCUGGGGUGAAUGAGAUGGAUCUGUUUGAUUCUAUCUCCAACCUGUGGAGGAGCACUGGGAAAACCCUCCCCCUAACAGGGCUCUGAACCAGAAAGAAUUACCACACAGCUGUUCUGCCAGGAGACAUUGUAGCAACAGGGAAUCAUAGGCCCUCACAGGGCAGCAUUAACUCUUGCAAUUGGACUGGAACGGGUGAUAUCAGGACUUAAGGGAGAGAUGAUAGCAGGUGGCAGCAUAUGAGAAGCUGCCAGAUGGUGUGGAGCAAAGUACUAUUUAUACCACAUUAUAGGCUUCUCUGUUUAAUAUACUAUGGUGGUUAAAAAUCAUUACUGAAUUUUGAACCCUUUAUUUUAUGAAAUUUGACCCUUUUGAUCUCUGCAUCUCCCAUUGAAAUCUAUGUGAGACUUUCCAGAGAAGUCAUAGGAAGCUAGGUUGGAUCUAAGUUGCAUUCAAAAAUGUUUCACUGCAUGUCUUGCAGACAUGGCCAGAGGUUCUCUGAAAUUUCUUUUGGCUUAUUAAUUUAUAAGAUGCACUUCCUUGUAAAUCCAUUUAUAUGAAAUAUUACUGCUUUUGAAAAAUAAAACUGAUUUUGUUUUCAACUGGG